UGUUAUGUGGCUAAGUUGGAUAAAACGCCAGACUAGCAAUACGGAGUCGUGGGUUCGAAUCUCACCAAAGCAA
rnacentral:tRNA from 1 species